rnacentral:tRNA from 1 species
GCCUAGGUGGCUCAGUCAGUUGGGCGUCUGAUUUCAGCUCAGGUCAUGAUCUCACAGUUUGUGGGUUUGAGCCCCACAUUGGGCU